UGACACGGCCAUAUCACCCUGUAGCCCAAGACUGGUUGCCCACUGAAGCUAAGCAGGGUUGAGGCUGGUUAGUACCUGGAUGAGAGACCUCCUGAGAAAACUAGGUUGCUGCCUGCA
ensembl:rRNA 5S_rRNA 5S ribosomal RNA